UACGUAGGUGGCAAGCGUUGUCCGGAAUUAUUGGGCGUAAAGCGCGCGCAGGCGGCCUCUUAAGUCUGAUGUGAAAGCCCCCGGCUCAACCGGGGAGGGCCAUUGGAAACUGGGAGGCUUGAGUAUAGGAGAGAAGAGUGGAAUUCCACGUGUAGCGGUGAAAUGCGUAGAGAUGUGGAGGAACACCAGUGGCGAAGGCGGCUUUCUGGUCUGUAACUGACGCUGAGGCGCGAAAGCGUGGGGAGCAAACAGG
rnacentral:rRNA from 1 species